AAUACCAGCACCCCGAGUGGUCGGGACGAUUAUUGGGCCUAAAGCAUCCGUAGCCGGCCCAGUAAGUCCUCCGUUAAAUCCAACGGCUCAACCGUUGGGCUGCGGGGGAUACUGCUGGGCUAGGGGACGGGAGAGGCGAGGGGUAUUCCCGGGGUAGGGGUAAAAUCCACUGAUCCCGGGAGGACCACCAGUGGCAAAGGCGCCUCGCUAGAACGUGCCCGACGGUGAGGGAUGAAAGCUGGGGGAGCGAACCGGAUUAGAUACCCGGGUAGUCCCAGCCGUAAACGAUGUAGGUUCGGUGUUGGGCUGCCUCAGUGGCAGCCCAGUGGUUUAGGGAAGCCGUUAAGCCUAGUUUCUGGGGAGUACGGGUUUAAGGCU
rnacentral:rRNA from 1 species